ACGAAAAAGGCAAAAUUGCCGUAAGGCAGUGACGCAAAGCUACAGGUCCUGGCAGUUGUACAGGAUGGCUGAGUUGCAG
rnacentral:ncRNA from 1 species